rnacentral:ncRNA from 3 species
UGGGAUAUCAUCAUAUACUGU